rnacentral:rRNA from 1 species
UGGGGAAUAUUGCACAAUGGGCGCAAGCCUGAUGCAGCAACGCCGCGUGCGGGAAGAAGGCCUUAGGGUUGUAAACCGCUUUCAGCAGGGAAGAAAAUGACGGUACCUGCAGAAGAAGGAGCGGCCAACUACGUGCCAGCAGCCGCGGUGACACGUAGGCUCCAAGCGUUGUCCGGAUUUAUUGGGCGUAAAGAGCUCGUAGGCGGUUUAGUAAGUCGGGUGUGAAAACUCAGGGCUUAACCCUGAGACGCCACUCGAUACUGCUAUGACUUGAGUACGGUAGGGGAGUGGGGAAUUCCUGGUGUAGCGGUGAAAUGCGCAGAUAUCAGGAGGAACACCAGUGGCGAAGGCGCCACUCUGGGCCGUAACUGACGCUGAGGAGCGAAAGCGUGGGUAGCAAACA